AUUGAACGCUGGCGGCAUGCCUUACACAUGCAAGUCGAACGGCAGCACGGGAGCAAUCCUGGUGGCGAGUGGCGAACGGGUGAGUAAUAUAUCGGAACGUGCCCAGUAGUGGGGGAUAGCCCGGCGAAAGCCGGAUUAAUACCGCAUACGACCUGAGGGUGAAAGCGGGGGAUCGCAAGACCUCGCGCUAUUGGAGCGGCCGAUAUCAGAUUAGCUAGUUGGUGGGGUAAAGGCCUACCAAGGCUACGAUCUGUAGUUGGUCUGAGAGGACGACCAGCCACACUGGGACUGAGACACGGCCCAGACUCCUACGGGAGGCAGCAGUGGGGAAUUUUGGACAAUGGGCGCAAGCCUGAUCCAGCAAUGCCGCGUGCAGGAAGAAGGCCUCGGUUGUAACUAGCUUUGUUCUAGGGAAGAAAGUACUUCUGGGCGUAAUACCCGGGACGGAGUGACGGUACCGUCGAAGAAUAAGACACCGGCUAACUACGUGCCAGCAGCCG
rnacentral:rRNA from 1 species